rnacentral:rRNA from 1 species
GAUAAACGCUGGCGGCGUGCCUAAUGCAUGCAAGUCGGAUGUGCCCGCAAGGGUGCAUGGCAGACGGGUGAGUAACGCGUGGGGAAUCUACCUCUUUGUGGGGAAUAACGCUCCGAAAGGAGUGGUAAUACCGCAUGAGACCAAUGGCUGGAAUGUUGUUGGUGAAACCUGGGGACCGCAAGGCCUGGGGCAAGGAGAGGAUCCUGCGUCUGAUUAGCUAGUUGGCGGGGUAACGGCCCACCAAGGCGACGAUCAGUAGCCGGUCUGAGAGGAUGGUCCCCCACACUGGUACUGAGACACGGACCAGACUCCUACGGGAGGCAGCAGUGAGGAAUAUUGGUCAAUGGGCGGAAGCCUGAACCAGCCAUGCCGCGUGCGGGAUGAAGGCCCUACGGGUUGUAAACCGCUUUUCCCCGGGAAGAAUAAGCCCCCGCGGGGGUCGAGUGCCGGUACCGGGGAUAAGGAUCGGCUAACUCCGUG